GAUUAACGCUAGCGGCAGGCCUAAUACAUGCAAGUCGAGGGGCAGCAGGGUGUAGCAAUACAUCGCUGGCGACCGGCGCACGGGUGCGUAACACGUAUGCAACCUACCUUUAACUGGGGAAUAGCCCUCCGAAAGGAGGAUUAACACCGCAUAACAUCACGAGACGGCAUCGCCUUGUGAUCAAACCUCCGGGGGUUAAAGAUGGGCAUGCGUCCGAUUAGCUAGUUGGCGGGGUAACGGCCCACCAAGGCGACGAUCGGUAGGGGGUCUGAGAGGAUGAUCCCCCACACUGGUACUGAGACACGGACCAGACUCCUACGGGAGGCAGCAGUAGGGAAUAUUGGACAAUGGGGGCAACCCUGAUCCAGCCAUGCCGCGUGAGGGAAGAAGGUCCUCUGGAUUGUAAACCUCUUUUGGCGGGGGACAAACCUGCACUAUACGUGCAGCUGAGGGUACCCGCAGAAUAAGCACCGGCUAACUCCGUGCCAGCAGCCGCGGUAAAUGCG
rnacentral:rRNA from 1 species